rnacentral:rRNA from 1 species
AUCCCAUUGCCGGAUGGUUCCGACGCUACCCAUCGACCUGACUCUCCAACUGGUCGGUGUGACCCUGACUCUAUGCCGGGUCUGAGGAUGCCCCCCGUCGUCAGAUCUCCGAAGCUGUUACGGGCUUUCCCACUAGCUCGCUGCGGCGCACGCCCUACUUCCAGAAGCCUAACAUUUGGCGAAAACAAACCCUUCUUCCGAACAUAGCACUUAUACUCUAACUGCCAUGGUUUGCUUAUUCGGGGCCGAUUGAGGCACGGUCGUCGGCGCCAUUCUGCCUCCCCCGUUCGCAACAAGCCUUAGUAACCCGCAUUUCCCGAGCAUCCGCCUGACCGUUCAGACCGCACUUUAGAGGUGGCGAGUGGCCCCUCUCCAGCGACCUAUGAUGAUCAGAACUCAAGCCAUCUCCUAGCACCUUAAAGCCCACAUCGCCACCUUACGCAUCUAUAGGCUUUCUUGUGGCCACCGCUUCCGCUGCUAGACCCGGACUUGACUGCGACUCCUCGCUUUCGAUCCCCUCGUUUGCCCUAAUCUAUGGGGCCAUCAGGAUCGGCAUUUGCCACCUAUGAUCCACACCCCCCAUAAGCUGGGGAGGGCACGGCAUCAAUUGUGUAAUUCAUAGGGCG